AUUGAACGCUGGCGGCAGGCCUAACACAUGCAAGUCGAGCGAGCGGCGGACGGGUGAGUAAUGUAUGGGGACUGCCCGAUAGAGGGGGAUAACUACUGGAAACGGUGGCUAAUACCGCAUACUAUCGGAUAACCCAUAUGGGAUUAGCUAGUAGGUGGGGUAAAGGCUCACCUAGGCGACGAUCUCUAGCUGGUUUGAGAGGACGACCAGCCACACUGGAACUGUGACACGGCCCAGACUCCUACGGAGGCAGCAGUGGGGAAUUUUGGCCAAUGGGGGAAACCCUGAUCCAGCCAUCCCGCGUGUAUGAUGAAGGCCUUCGGGUUGUAAAGUACUUUUGGCAGGGAAGCGUUAUCUGCAGAAUAAGCACCGGCUAACUACGUGCCAGCCGCCGCGGUAAUAC
rnacentral:rRNA from 1 species